rnacentral:misc_RNA from 1 species
UGAAGAACGUAGCAAAAUGCGAUAAGUAAUGUGAAUUGCAGAAUUCAGUGAAUCAUCGAAUCUUUGAACGCACAUUGCGCCCGCUGGUAUUCCGGCGGGCAUGCCUGUUCGAGCGUCAUUUCAACCCUCAAACCCCCGGGUUUGGUGUUGGGGAUCGGCUCUGCCUCACGGCGGUGCCGCCCCCGAAAUACAUUGGCGGUCUCGCUGCAGCCUCCAUUGCGUAGUAGCUAACACCUCGCAACUGGAACGCGGCGCGGCCAUGCCGUAAAACCCCAACUUCUGAAUGUUGACCUCGGAUCAGGUAGGAAUACCCGCUGAACUUAAGCAUAUCAAUAAGCGGAGGA